rnacentral:rRNA from 1 species
GGUUAAGCGACUAAGCGUACACGGUGGAUGCCCUGGCAGUCAGAGGCGAUGAAGGACGUGCUAAUCUGCGAAAAGCGCCGGCGAGGUGAUAUGAACCUUUGACCCGGCGAUGUCCGAAUGGGGAAACCCAGUGCAAUCCGUUGCACUAUCGUUAACUGAAUACAUAGGUUAACGAGGCGAACCGGGGGAACUGAAACAUCUAAGUACCCCGAGGAAAAGAAAUCAACCGAGAUUCCCCCAGUAGCGGCGAGCGAACGGGGAGCAGCCCGGAGUCUGAAUCAGCUUGUGUGUUAGUGGAACGGUCUGGAAAGUCCGACGGUACAGGGUGAUAGUCCCGUACACGAAAGCACACAUGCUGUGAACUCGAAGAGUAGGGCGGGACACGUGGUAUCCUGUCUGAAUAUGGGGGGACCAUCCUCCAAGGCUAAAUACUCCUGACUGACCGAUAGUGAACCAGUACCGUGAGGGAAAGGCGAAAAGAACCCCGGCGAGGGGAGUGAAAAAGAACCUGAAACCGUGUACGUACAAGCAGUGGGAGCCUCUUUAUGGGGUGACUGCGUACCUUUUGUAUAAUGGGUCAGCGACUUAUAUUCUGUAGCAAGGUUAACCGUAUAGGGGAGCCGAAGGGAAACCGAGUCUUAACUGGGCGUUAAGUUGCAGGGUAUAGACCCGAAACCCGGUGAUCUAGCCAUGGGCAGGUUGAAGGUUGGGUAACACUAACUGGAGGACCGAACCGACUAAUGUUGAAAAAUUAGCGGAUGACCUGUGGCUGGGGGUGAAAGGCCAAUCAAACCGGGAGAUAGCUGGUUCUCCCCGAAAGCUAUUUAGGUAGCGCCUCGUGAACUCAUCUUCGGGGGUAGAGCACUGUUUCGGCUAGGGGGCCAUCCCGGCUUACCAACCCGAUGCAAACUACGAAUACCGAAGAAUGUUAUCACGGGAGACACACGGCGGGUGCUAACGUCCGUCGUGAAGAGGGAAACAACCCAGACCGCCAGCUAAGGUCCCAAAGUCAUGGUUAAGUGGGAAACGAUGUGGGAAGGCACAGACAGCCAGGAUGUUGGCUUAGAAGCAGCCAUCAUUUAAAGAAAGCGUAAUAGCUCACUGGUCGAGUCGGCCUGCGCGGAAGAUGUAACGGGGCUAAACCAUGCACCGAAGCUGCGGCAGCGACACUUAUGUGUUGUUGGGUAGGGGAGCGUUCUGUAAGCCGUUGAAGGUGUGCUGUGAGGCAUGCUGGAGGUAUCAGAAGUGCGAAUGCUGACAUAAGUAACGAUAAAGCGGGUGAAAAGCCCGCUCGCCGGAAGACCAAGGGUUCCUGUCCAACGUUAAUCGGGGCAGGGUGAGUCGACCCCUAAGGCGAGGCCGAAAGGCGUAGUCGAUGGGAAACAGGUUAAUAUUCCUGUACUUGGUGUUACUGCGAAGGGGGGACGGAGAAGGCUAUGUCAGCCGGGCGACGGUUGUCCCGGUUUAAGCAUGUAGGCGGAGGUUCCAGGUAAAUCCGGUACCUUGUUAACGCUGAGGUGUGAUGACGAGGCACUACGGUGCUGAAGUGAUAAAUGCCCUGCUUCCAGGAAAAGCCUCUAAGCAUCAGGUAACACGAAAUCGUACCCCAAACCGACACAGGUGGUCAGGUAGAGAAUACCAAGGCGCUUGAGAGAACUCGGGUGAAGGAACUAGGCAAAAUGGUGCCGUAACUUCGGGAGAAGGCACGCUGAUGUGUAGGUGAAGCCCCUGCGGGCGGAGCUGAAAUCAGUCGAAGAUACCAGCUGGCUGCAACUGUUUAUUAAAAACACAGCACUGUGCAAACACGAAAGUGGACGUAUACGGUGUGACGCCUGCCCGGUGCCGGAAGGUUAAUUGAUGGGGUUAGCGGCAACGCGAAGCUCUUGAUCGAAGCCCCGGUAAACGGCGGCCGUAACUAUAACGGUCCUAAGGUAGCGAAAUUCCUUGUCGGGUAAGUUCCGACCUGCACGAAUGGCGUAAUGAUGGCCAGGCUGUCUCCACCCGAGACUCAGUGAAAUUGAACUCGCUGUGAAGAUGCAGUGUACCCGCGGCAAGACGGAAAGACCCCGUGAACCUUUACUAUAGCUUGACACUGAACACUGGUCCUUGAUGUGUAGGAUAGGUGGGAGGCUUUGAAGCGUGGACGCCAGUCUGCGUGGAGCCGUCCUUGAAAUACCACCCUUUAAUGGCUGGUGUUCUAACGUAGACCCGUAAUCCGGGUUGCGGACAGUGUCUGGUGGGUAGUUUGACUGGGGCGGUCUCCUCCCAAAGAGUAACGGAGGAGCACGAAGGUUGGCUAAUCCUGGUCGGACAUCAGGAGGUUAGUGCAAUGGCAUAAGCCAGCUUGACUGCGAGCGUGACGGCGCGAGCAGGUGCGAAAGCAGGUCAUAGUGAUCCGGUGGUUCUGAAUGGAAGGGCCAUCGCUCAACGGAUAAAAGGUACUCCGGGGAUAACAGGCUGAUACCGCCCAAGAGUUCAUAUCGACGGCGGUGUUUGGCACCUCGAUGUCGGCUCAUCACAUCCUGGGGCUGAAGUAGGUCCCAAGGGUAUGGCUGUUCGCCAUUUAAAGUGGUACGCGAGCUGGGUUUAGAACGUCGUGAGACAGUUCGGUCCCUAUCUGCCGUGGGCGCUGGAGAAUUGAGGGGGGCUGCUCCUAGUACGAGAGGACCGGAGUGGACGCAUCACUGGUGUUCGGGUUGUCAUGCCAAUGGCACUGCCCGGUAGCUAAAUGCGGAAGAGAUAAGUGCUGAAAGCAUCUAAGCACGAAACUUGCCCCGAGAUGAGUUCUCCCUGAGACUUUAAGUCUCCUGAAGGAACGUUGAAGACGACGACGUUGAUAGGUCGGGUGUGUAAGCGCAGCGAUGCGUUGAGCUAACCGAUACUAAUGAACCGUGAGGCUUAACCUU